CCUCGAUCCUCGUUGUUGUGAUGAUGUGCGACUAGCCGCUCCAACGGUCCCCAUCCCUUUACACGCGCUGGUGAGACCGCCGUUACUUUCCGGGUUGGCCGUGACGUCAUCAACCCUGGUGGUAGACACACCACCCAGUCUCGUUAAAUUCAACCUUCGCGCUGUUCUUCCGGAAGUCAGGUCGUCUUCUGGUUCGCCGAGACUGACCACGGAGAACUUCUCAAGAGGCCAAGAGUGAGUCUCGGCAGACAGACAUCAGUCACCAAUAUCUACGUCCAUGGAUCCAGCUUACGCGACCCUUCCCUGCUGCUGAGUUUGUACUACAUGACGAACAAGGUGCGGAAAAGUGGGGAGGGGGAAACCCACGACAGAUAUACCCCACAAGACGAACAAAAGAACUAUACACGACACUGGUAUAUCCAGAAAGCCGUACAUAUUUAGAAACAAUUUUCAAAAAGGACUGUGUAUGUGUUGUCAGCCAAGUACGUGUUUGGAUUACGUGUCUAAGACGCUUCGUCUUCUGUAAGCCAACAGUAAGAACAAACAACAUGCGUAUAUACGUGUGACAGGGAAAGUGUAUUCUGGGUAGAGAUGAAUAACUGAAGUUCUUUAGUCUUCCUGCUUUUCCACGCAGUUUACGUAAUGUACACAGGAACGAAU